ACAUUUUUGUAAAUAUUUGAUUAUAUCUUUUCAUGUGACAACACUGAAGAAAUGACACUUUGCUACAAUGUAAAGUAGUGAGUGUACAGCUUGUGUAACAGUGUAAAUUUGCUGUCCCCUCAAAAUAACUCAACACACAGCCAUUAAUGUCUAAACCGCUGGCAACAAAAGUGAGUACACCCCUAAGUGAAAAUGUCCAAAAUGGGCCCAAAGUGUCAAUAUUUUGUGUGGCCAGCAUUAUUUUACAGCGCUGCCUUAACCCUCUUGGGCAUGGAGUUCACCAGAGCUUCACAGGUUGCCACUGGAGUCCUCUUCCACUCCUCCAUGACGACAUCACGGAGCUGGUGGAUGUUAGAGACCUUGUGCUCCUCCACCUUCCAUUUGAGGACGCCCCACAGAUGCUCAGUAGGGUUUAGGUCUGGAGACAUGCUUGGCCAGUCCAUCACCUUCACCCUCAGCUUCUUUAGCAAGGCAGUGGUCAUCUUGGAGGUGUGUUUGGGGUCGUUAUUAUGCUGGAAUACAUGCUGGGAUCAUGCUCUGCUUCGGUAUGUCACAGUACAUGUUGGCAUUCAUGGUUCCCUCAAUGAACUGUAGCUCCCCAGUGCCAGCAGCACUCAUGCAGCCCCAGACCAUGAUACUCCCACCUCCAUGCUUGACUGUAGGCAAGACACACUUGUCUUUGUACUCCUCACCUGGUUGCCACCACACACGCUUGACUCCAUCUCAACCAAAUAAGUUUAUCUUGGUCUCAUCAGACCACAGGACAUGGUUCCAGUAAUCCAUGUCCUUAGUCUGCUUGUCUUCAGCAAACUGUUUGCAGGCUUUCUUGUGCAUCAUGUUUAGAGGAGGCUUCCUUCUGGGACGACAGCCAUUAAGACCAAUUUGAUGUGGUGUGCGGCGUAUGGUCUGAGCACUGACAGGCUGACCCCCCACCCCUUCAACCUCUGCAGCAAUGCUGGCAGCACUCAUACAUCUGUUUCCCAAAGACAACCUCUGGAUAUGACGCUGAGCAUGUGCACUCAACUUCUUUGGUCGACCAUGGCGAGGCCUGUUCUGAGUGGAACCUGUCCUGUUAAACCACUGUAUGGUCUUGGGCACCGUGCUGCAGUUCAGUGUCAGGGUCUUGGCAAUCUUCUUAUAGCCUAGGCCAUCUUUAUGUAGAGCAACAAUUCUUUUUUUCAGAUCCUCAGAGAGUUCUUUGCCAUGAGGUGCCAUGUUGAACUUCCAGUGACCACUAUGAGGGAGUGUGAGAGCGAUGACACCAAAUUUAACACACCUGCUCCCCAUUCACACCUGAGACCUUGUAACACUAACAAGUCACAUGACACCGGGGAGGGAAAAUGGCUAAUUGGGCCCAAUUUGAACAUUUUCACUUAGGGGUGUACUCACUUUUGUUGCCAGCAGUUUAGACAUUAAUGGCUGUGUGUUGAGUUAUUUUGAGGGGACAGCAAAUUUACAUUGUUACACAAGCUGUACACUCACUACUUUACAUUGUAGCAAAGUGUCAUUUCUUCAGUGUUGUCACAUGAAAAGAUAUAAUCAAAUAUUUACAAAAAUGUGAGGGGUGUACUCACUUUUGUGAGAUACUGUAAAAGGAUUCCAAAGCACCAAUGUUUAAGUUGUGUUUGAUGCCAAUUACAAGAUUCUGGAUCUUGUGCCAAAAUGGCCAGGGUCAACACAUGAUACUCUAGCCUCACUGGGUUAUUUGAACAAAAUUAUGUUCAGUUUGCCCUGGAUGUCAUCUGCUGGGUGACUCAGGAUAUCCUUUAAACACUGGCUUCUCACCCCUUACAGAAGUCCACAAGGAGAACAGCAACUCAAUUAUAACAGGUACUGGACUGGACUGAACUGUAGACAAAAUACCAAUAAAAUACCUUCUUCCAUUGCUCCAUGGUCCAGUUCUGAUGCUCACAUGCCCAUUGUAGGCACUUUCGGUGGUGAAGGGGGUCAGCAUGGGCAGUCUGACUGGUUUGUAGCUACGCAGCCCCAUACACAGCAAGCUGUGAUGCACUGUGUUCUGACACCUUUCUAUCAUAGACAGCAUGAACCUUUUCAGCAAUUUGUGCUACAGAAGCUCUUUUGUGGGAUUGGAACAGACAGGAUAGCCUUUGCUCCCCACACACAUCAGUGAGCCUCAGGCACCCUGAGCCUGUUACUGGUUCAUUUGUUGUCCUUCCUCGGACCACUUUUGGUAGGUACUAACCAGUGCAUACCAGGAACACCCCACAAGACCUGCCGUUUUGGAGAUGCUUUGAACCAGUCAUCUAGCCAUCAUAAUUUGGUCCCUGUCGAAGUCACUCAGAUCCUUACGCUUGCCCAUUUUUCCUGCUUCCAGUACAUCAACUUUGACAACUGACCGUUCACUUGCUGCCAAAUAUAUCCCACCCCUCGACAGGUGCCACUGUAUCAAGAUAAUCAAUGUUAUUCACUUCACCGGUCAGUGGUUUUAAUGUUUAACUCCUAGUAAGUUUGUAUUUACAAGUUGGGAAGUCGUAAUUACGACAUCAGGUACGUUCCAAGUCACUUUGGUCAAAGCAAGAUGGCAGUGUACCUUCUCUUAAUUAACUACACAAAAAAAUAAAGCUAAGGUUUUUUAACUCUACUUCUAGAAAAUGGAGAACAAAGAAUGCGCAUCAAGUAUGUUUUGCUUUUUUUAUGUUUUUAAUCAAUUUAUGAAGCCACUGUAAACAUUUUCGGUUACAUAAAGUAUUAUAUCGUAAUUGUACAAUGCUAUUGCAUUUUGUGCAAGCAAUUAGCUUGUUUUAUUGUAAAUAAAAAAAAGCCUGAAAAUAACUUGCUGCAUAUACACAUAAUAAGUGACAUUAGUAAACAUUUGAUUCAAAAAAUUUACCAUCAACCACAGACAUUUCAUCAGUUGAUUCCACCAUGUUUUCUUACUGACACCCCCCAACUCGGAAACUCAGAGCUCAAAGAAAAUCCAGUUUCCCACUCAUAGUUAUGACUUUAUGGUGAUGUUCAACUCAUACAUUCGAUCUUUCCGAUAUGACUUGAAUGCACCAUUAUGGCUUAUUGGUGUAUAUGGGUGUGAUCCCUGGAAACACAUUUGUUCCUUUAACUAAUGAUAUGGGGUGGCAAAUGUCCCAGUAACACAUACAGUUACAUUUGGCUGUAAAUAAUAAUGACUAGCUUUUGAUGUCAUCCCUUUAUUAUAAAAAUUACAUGUAGAUUGUUGGCAUAUGUGACAAAACCGCUUGUUACUGAUCUUAAUGUCUGACUUUCACUCUUGAAAGUGAUUCAAGAAUGCAAGGUUGCUUAAAAAGCUGUGUCCAAGUGGUCCAUGAUGGAGGGGGGAACCAGGCACACAGCAGAGCCGCCAGGUAAUUUUCAGGAAUUCUGAUGUGUUUUGGGAUGGCUGAAUAUUUGGGAAUGGCCCGUUUCAAGCCCAUUUGGGACCCAUGUGGGGCCUACGUAGACAUGCUGUCCAGGUCCCCAAUGGCAUGUUGGAAAAGCAGGAAGUGCCAUAGGAUGCCCAACGAUGGCACAUUGCAGCUUGAGACAUAUCAGAUCAGUCACUUAGUGCUGGCUCUAAUAAAGUUUUGCACAGCAGUAAAAGAAGACGCUGUGGCAAACUGAACCAACUUAGACACCACCUGAGCCUAUCCUCCUUUUAUACAGGGACAUUCUUAAUUGAAUGACUGGUCUUGCUUGUCUCAAUUUAUGGGAUUUAAGUUUAUAUUUAUUGGACAAAUAUUCAAGUUUGUGUGUGUAAUAAGAACACACAGAGCCAACCCUGUCUGUCAGAUUUUAUUCACAAUGAUGUUAAACACUGUCUCUGUUAAAACUUUCCACCACCAUCGUGAUUGUCAUGGGCUGCUUCUCAAAUCGAAAGCUCUGACCUUACAUUCAACUGUUUAAUAAAUCUAGAAAAUCCAGACGACUGG